rnacentral:rRNA from 1 species
UGGGGAAUAUUGCACAAUGGGCGCAAGCCUGAUGCAGCCAUGCCGCGUGUAUGAAGAAGGCCUUCGGGUUGUAAAGUACUUUCAGCGAGGAGGAAGGCGUUGUGGUUAAUAACCGCAACGAUUGACGUUACUCGCAGAAGAAGCACCGGCUAACUCCGUGCCAGCAGCCGCGGUAAUACGGAGGGUGCAAGCGUUAAUCGGAAUUACUGGGCGUAAAGCGCACGCAGGCGGUCUGUCAAGUCGGAUGUGAAAUCACCGGGCUCAACCUGGGAACUGCAUCCGAAACUGGCAGGCUAGAGUCUUGUAGAGGGGGGUAGAAUUCCAGGUGUAGCGGUGAAAUGCGUAGAGAUCUGGAGGAAUACCGGUGGCGAAGGCGGCCCCCUGGACAAAGACUGACGCUCAGGUGCGAAAGCGUGGGGAGCAAACA